rnacentral:lncRNA from 1 species
GGGAGGCUCAGUAACUGUAGGCGGUGUUUCAGUGUGAGGAGGGCUUAGUAGCUUGGGAUGGGUGCAUUCCUGCUUGUAGGAAACUCAAGAAGACCCUCUGAGGAACAAAAUAAUGUCUUUCUGACCUUGCAGAAAGGAGGUCAGCCUGUGCAUGGUCAGACAGGAGCCUGUUCUCAAGCUUGUCAACAGAGAAAAGAGUUGGAGAAGUUGCAGCCAAACUUACGGUCACAUUUGCUGUCACCUGAAGAAUUACUGAGAAAACAGAGUCACCAAAAUGCAGCUGAAUUGGAAGAAAGAGAGCACAGUUCCAGAGAAGAAAUAGCGCUACAGAGAAAGCUAGAAGCAGAGCUCCAAAGCAUCCAACAGCAAAUGCAGUACUACUUCAGCAGGAAGCAGGAACUCAAGUCUUGUCAGCAGCAGGCAGAGAUUCUGCAUAAGUGGCUAGAAAGGAGAGCACAACCACGAGAUCAAGAUAGUAUACAAAAAGUUCAGGAAGAACUGGACCAGUUGGAGGUGAGGAUCAGUGCUCUCACCAAAGCACAACACCGGGAGAGACACCACGUGCAGAACCUGGUUGCUCGCCUGCAUGAUAUUCAGGUUGCUCUGGAAAUGUAAAUUCACAUGAACCUAAUUGCUAGCUGAUGAGUGGGAAUGGCUGCAGUUUUCACCCCUUUCAUAUCAGUAGAGGAUGGAAAGAGAUUGUAUACAUUCUCCUAGUCCAG